rnacentral:RNase_P_RNA from 1 species
GCGAGCCUACGGAAAGUGCAACAGAAAGGAAACCGCCUGCUUGCAGGUAAGGGUGAAAAGGUGCGGUAAGAGCGCACCGCGCGGUUGGCAACAAGCGUGGCGAUGGUAAACCCCGUCCGGAGCAAGACCAAAUAGGAAUCCAAUACCGUGACCCUCGGUGGAUUCGGGUAGGUCGCUUCAGGCGAACGGUGACGUUCGUCGCAGAUGAAUGAUCGUCCGAGACAGAACCCGGCUUAUCGACCCACUCAUUAU